GGACAGGAAUCGAAAUCUAUGCAUGGUUCUUGGUUCGACAUCGGCCGGAUCAGAUGUAAAUUGUAACCGAUCAGAGAGAAUUUUUCAGGAGAGAGAGGCUGAAAACCCGGAGAAAUGAAGUCAGACACUUUCCCGCUUCAGCUGUGUUUGCAUACUAUCACAGCUGAAGUGAAAUAAAUGCAAUAUCUGUCAAAUACACAGAAUUCAGACACUUUUCUAUUGAAUACUUAGCCUAGGCCGACUACAGUGUUUGUUUGCACAAGUGUAAAGUUCAACAUCUCAAUGAAGUGGCUGUCUACGUUUUUUUUAAUCAGUUUUAUUUUGAUUUGCGAGUAUACACAAAAAGAGAGUUUGUUAUAGAAAAAGGUGGAUUUGUUGAUCAGAAUGUCCCGGUACUGGAGAGGGGAAGUUUUUUUUAUUAUUAUUCCUGACCCUAUUUUGAUUCAAAGUAAAUGGAGUAGACUCUGGGAAUACUGGGAAUGAAUCGUGAACAGGAGUCGACUCCAAAAAAUCCGGUCUCGAACACCCCUGGGUAACGCCCCGUGUCACGUGGGCCGUGACGUGUCCGCUGUAUAAAUUCGCUCGCUCCCCCUUUCUCGUUCUCUUUCUCCGUGCACCUCGAGAAUAGCAAGCUUCUCUCCGACACAAAGAAGAGUUGAUCGACCUUAAAACGUGUUCAUAAUGAACCACACGCGAAGAAGAUGCAAGCACAGGGCUUCCAGACCACCUUGAUUAAUGCCGGGUCUAAUGCGACUACACAAUGAUUGUCUGGUGGCUGUUUUACUGUGAUAACCGCACGCAGUUCCUGAAUUGGUGAGCGUCUGGAUCUGACUCCGUGCUGAGCAGACGCAGCAGAAACGCUUCUCUUGAGCAGAAACGCCAUGAGCUCCUGAUUCUCAGCGAAAUGCCCCACAGUGUCCGUGUUGGAGUGACAUCAGACCAUGAGAAUAACUUGAAACCUGCUUUAUUUGAGAAUAAACGUUGUAGAAAGAUAUGAAUGCCUCCUGUCAUGUGUUGAAUGAUGAUCUCUUCAGUGUCCAGGAAGUCUCUGUCCUGUUAAAGAAGUAGGGUGACUAAACUCCCCAAGUUUAAAUAAAAUAUUGUCCUGUUUUA